GUCCCACCGACGACCCUUAUAUAUAUUUGUUUAACCUCGCUCAGGACGAACGCUGGCGGCGUGCUUAACACAUGCAAGUCGCCCGAUGUUCCGGUUUCGGCCGGGGAUUAGUGGCGCCCGGGUGAGUAACACGUGGGCAAUCUGCCCUGCACUCUGGGAUAAGCCCGGGUUUCUGGGUCUCCUACCGGAUACGACACUCCGAGGCAUCUUGGGGUGUGGUUUGUUCCGGCGGUGCAGGAUGAGCCCGCGGCCUAUCAGCUUGUUGGUGGGGUCCUGGCCUACCCCGGCGACGACGGGUAGCCGGCCUGAGAGGGUGACCGGCCACACUGGGACUGAGACACGGCCCAGACUCCUACGGGAGGCAGCAGUGGGGCCUAUUGCACGGUGGGCGAAAGCCUGAUGCAGCGACGCCGCGUGAGGGAUGACGGCCUUCGGGUUGUGGGCCUCUUUCAGCAGGGAAGGGGCGUUUGUGACGGUACCUGCAGGGGAAGCACCGGCUAACUACGUGCCAGCAGCCGCGGUAAUACGUAGGGUGCGAGCGUUGUCCGGAAUUAUUGGGCGUGGGGAGCUCGUAGGCGGUUUGUCGCGUCGAUUGUGUUUGCCCGGGGCUUAACCCUGGGUCUGCAGUCGAUACGGGCAGGCUAGAGUUCGGCAGGGGAGACUGGAAUUCCUGGUGUAGCGGUGUUUUGCGCAGAUAUCAGGAGGAACACCGGUGGCGUUGGCGGGUCUCUGGGCCGAUACUGACGCUGAGGAGCGUUGGCGUGGGGAGCGAACAGGAUUAGAUACCCUGGUAGUCCACGCCGUGGGCGGUGGGCACUAGGUGUGGGCAACAUUCCACGUUGUCCGUGCCGCAGCUGGUUCGCAUUGUGCCCCGCCUGGAGACGCCGCACCGU
rnacentral:rRNA from 1 species